rnacentral:misc_RNA from 1 species
CACGUCUUGGCAUAUUUAAUAAUGUUGAAAAAAAGCAUAAAUGAACUACCAUACAACCAUGUAUUUUGGCUAGAAAAUGAGAAAAUUAGAACAGUCAAACUACAAGAAUUCAUUGAAUAACUAUCGAUCAAGACUCACCAAUGCUAUAGCAAAAACACACACAUAUAUAUACAAAUCGAUCAAGAACUAAGCAAGUUGGUUUUAACCAAAUCGAACAUUAAAACUUUGGGGUUCAAGGCCUUAUGCAACAAUCAAUGAUAGUGGCCGAAAAACCUUAUAACGACUGGCAUUGAGAAAUACACAGUGAGAUAUACUAUGUUCGGCCAAACUAAG